AUUAAUAUGUUUUAUAUUUUUAUUUUUAUUAAUGAACGGUUAGUAAUUAUUAUUAUUUCUAUAAAAUUAUUAUUUUAUCCUUUCAAAAUACUUUUUUAUCAUCAUCUACUUUUCUUAUUUGUUUCUAAAGUUUAGUUUGAUAUUGACGUGAAUCUCAUUAGAAUGGAGUUGAAAAAAAAUAUAUAGGGAUAUAUUUUUGCAUUUUUCGAUGGAACCGUAGAAAAUAUAUCAUAAUCGACUAACCGCAAUAUACGGAAUACAAUAUUAUGUACGGAAACAAACAGAAUAUUUUUCCAUCGCCGUUUCUCACUGCACGUAACGCAAUUUUUCCGUAUGGAAGUUAGCUCUUCGGUAACUACACCUUUCUCAAACCUAUGGUACCUAUCAGAAUAGGAUAUGAAAAGUACUAUUUAUGAGAUUUCAAUCAGAAGUGUAUGAUUUGCACCCUUUUAUUUAAGAAUUUACAAAAUUCUUUAAACUUGUAAUAUUUAUAAAUUUUUUUUUUUUGACAAGAAAGAGAGAAAUUUUGGUUUUUGAAUGAAAAGAAUGUAAGAUUUACAUCCCUAACAUUGCUUUUUUAUUUAUCAAAGAAAAGUGCCUAUCUCUCAUAUAACCCAUUUCUUUUGUUGAACUCUCUGUUAGAAAGACUAGUUAACCUUCUUUUUUUUUUUUUUUUAAUUGGGCUAUAAAAGAGAAAUGCGGUUGGUGCGGAUCAUAGCCCAUUUCUUGAGGACCCACUAACCAAUAAGAUGGUUCUCCCUGUGAGAAUACUCAAAAACCCAAGCCACAAAAAAUAUAUUUGGGUGUCUGCGAAGGGCCUCCCUAUUAGAAAGCGUACGAAUAAUCCAAGCCACAGAAAUUAUUUGGGCAUCUCCGAAGAAAAUCAUAUAUAUAUAUAUAUAUAGAGAGAGAGAGAGAGAGAGAGAGAGGCUGCUGUUGAUUUGGAUCAUAUUAUUCAACCAAUCACCUACUCAACCCUAGAGGAUCACUAUCAUUCUAACUAAGGACCACUAUCAUCCUAACCCCAUAUUCAUUCAUCCAACGGCCGAAAACUUAUAAGUACAAAGAGCUCUAUACUCAUAAGAGUAUAGUAGCUCUAGCAUACAUAUUAUAUAUUUAUUAUAUAUGAUUUUAAAACUGUUGUCCUAAAUUUAUCGGCGAACUGGCAUAUGGCAGCUUGUAUGUCAAUCCAUCUUAAUAAUACAAGUUAAUUAUAUCUUGGGCUAAUUUACUAUAUUCGUACUUUGUUAAUAAAUAAUUGUUUUUUCUUUUUUUCCUUUCAUUCUAUUAUUAUGUAUCUUGUAUAGUACGCAAUAGUUAUUAGGUUAAAUUCUUUUUCUUCCCCAAUUACGUUGUCAAGAUUCAGUUAUUAAAAUUGUUUUAAUGCCCAUUUACUAACUUUUAUUUCAAGCAUUUAAAACAUGGGCUUGGGACAACGAAUCUCAUUAAGCAAGGAAAGGUGUCCGUUUCUAUCCAUCUUUUCGCCAUAAACGGUAAUGAAUGAUGGAUACAUCUUUUAUUUCACUGUAAAAAAUUUUAAAGGUUAAAAAUUACAUUAAGUGUUAUUUUAAAAAUUACAUAUAGUUUUAGUAUUCAUUCUCUCCCUUAAUAAGGUACUAAAAUUACAUUGUAAUCCUCUGUUCCAUAGUUUACACAUUUAUUAUAAAUAAAUAAAUAAUAAUAAUAAGUAUGUCAUAUGUUUUACUGUAAAACUCUAUAUAAGGAUUCUUCAAUCUCCUUGUAUCUAUACUAUUUAAAGAUCUUUUCAUGAAAUGCUUUCCAGCCAUAUAGCAUUAUUAUGGACAAUUAAUUCCCUACCAAAUUUAGCAAAUUUGACGUGGAGGUUCUUUGAUCAAGAAUUAUUUUAAUCAGUUACUUAAUUGGUAUUCUAUCUCAUUCAAUUUGCUUGGUAAUCUGAGAUAAGACACAAGUGUACCGAUUUUCUAUUGCAUUAAUUGCAACUUUUUUGUGAUCCAUUUAUUGUUAUUAUAAUAUUAUUAUUAUUCUCUGUUAUUCCAUUGUUGACUCUUUAAUUUGAUUUGUUACUUAUGUAUAUUUCUCUCUAUAUAUAUAAACAUGGAAAAUAAUAGUUGAAUAUCUAUAUUUUUAGGUACGUACCAUGUAAUUACUACUCCAUUUCACCAAUUAUAUUAUUUUACAUAUUUGUACUCUUUUAGGAAUAAACUUAUGUGAAGUGACAUAUAUCUAACGACUUAUUAGAGUAUGUAAUUAAAUUUUGAUUUUAAACCGAGCAAGAUGUUAUCAAAUGGUGCAGUUUUCAUAUAAUUUUGUAGCUUUAGCAUUGUAAAAAAAAUCCAAAUAAAUUGUUAAGGAUUUUUUUUUUUAAAAAAAAUUAAAUAGGUAAUAAUAUGUUAAAAAAUAUAGUUUAAAAAGAUUUUGAAAAUUAGCAUAAUAUCCCAUUAGAUUAAUCUUAUAGUAGAUUCUCAACUCCAAGAUUCGUUUUUUUUUUUUCUCUCUUUUUAUUCAAGAAUUUUAUAAAAAUAAUAUUAAAAACUAGGUGUAGCUGCUCUGUGCAUUUACACGGGUUACUUAGUAGUGUGUCCAUAAAGUUCACGCCAACAACCUGAGUAGUUCUUGGUGGUUCUAUAUUGGAUAUUAUAUAUAUAAAACAGUCGAUGCCUACAUUAUUAAUUGAGAAAUUAUUGCGUGCUCUUGGUUCCCCAACAUUACUCGUGUACCACCCGUGGACCACUUCUUAGUAACUUCACACUCCAAGUUUAAAAAGUUUUAAUUAUUUUUAAGCCGUAGUAAUGAAGUAGAUUCUCUACGGUAAAUAUUUGGGGGGUCCAUAACUGACGUGGUGGACCCUGUCCUUCCGUCGGUGAGCCGUGGAAAUAAGGAUGAAAUAUUUCAAACUUAAAAUUAUAAUUUAAACUUUAAUUUGAAUCCAUAAAUAUAAUUUAAGUUUUAAAUGAAAUUUGAAUAAAACUUUAUGUAAAUUAAAAUUUAAUUUAAAUUCAAAUUCAUAAGUUAGAUUCGAAAUACUUGAUUAAAUUUUAAUUUUUAAUUUAAGUUUAAAUUAAAAUUAAAAAUUAAAAAUUUAAUUUCUAAGUUUAAACUCAUAUUUUAAUUAAAAAGUUGAAAAAAAAAAAUUUAAUCCGAAUAAAUAUCCAUUCCGUACGGUUUCAACUUCCAUUCUGGCCUCCUAGGCCGGAUUGAAAAAACAGGUGAUUAGGAAAUUCUCAUUCCACUCGGAAAUCGGAAUCGGAAUGAGACUCCCGUGUAUCAAACACCCACAAACGGAUUUGCCCAUUUCGAUCGAUUCCGAUUCCAUGGUGAAAAAAAGCGAACCAAACAUACCGUAAGCUUACGCAAUAUGCACGAACAAUUAAUGAGAUUAGUCAAAAUCACGGAGAAUGCAUUGUGUAAAAUGAAUACUUACAAAAAAAUAUUUAAGGUUGAUGGGCCACUAGUUAACCACAAGAAACCUAAUCUUGUGGGCCAUGGAGGAGCACAUCACAGCCAUAAAAAUGUGAGAAAUUAUUACUUGCACCCAGUGCAUUCAUAUGUCUAGUGCACUGCGCAUUAUUUAAAUGUCCUGGCACAUGCAAUAAAUUAUAUCCUGAUUUAGAAAAAUAUAGAUAAAAACAUAUUGAAUUAUUCUGAAUUAAGAACUAUUUUGAAUUGGCUAUCUAAUCUUUCGAAAUUUGAUUGUACUAUCCAAAUUCUUCAAUUUAUUUGACUUAAGUCAACCAACCGUAUUUAGUUUAACAAAUUUAUAGUCGUAAAAAAUUACAUAAGAUAUCGUAACUAAGCCUGUGAAGAUAAACAGCGUAAUAAAAAUUUUAAGUCAAAGUAUCAUUGGCUGAUUUAAAUCAUCAGAUGAAUUACCAAGUUGGAUAGUAAAAUUAAAAUUUUGAAAGAUUGUGUAGUUAAUUCAAAAUGAUCCAUAGUUCACACGAAUUCAAUACGUAUUUAGGAAGAAUAUAUAAUAAAAUAUUACCAAUGGUGUAUACGAGAUAUGUACACGAGGUGCACGCAAUAAUUUCUCAAGAAAAGUGGAUAUUUUGUUGCCUGUACAAAGGGACAAGAGUAAUAACUAGGUCCAAAACCUAAUCCACAACUUUUAAUCACACACACAUCCCUGUUUUUUUUUUUUUUUUUUUAUCUCAAUUUAUCAACCUAAUCAAUUACUACUACUAUUAAAGCAAUAAAACCCCACAAAAAUGUUAAUCCAUUGACCAAUCAAAAGCCAACAAAAAAGCAUGUAAAAAGGAAAUUUUUUAAACAAAAAAUAAAAGAAGAUCUUAAAAAUAACAAUAAUAACUGAGAAAAGGUCGGUCCCUUGCGUGAGUGUCAAAUCCCCUUAUAUUCUCUCUCUCUUUCUCUCUCUCUCUCUCUCUAUCUCACUAUUUCUCUCUCUAAAACCUUGUUUCACUCUCUCCGAGAUUUCUUCUUUUCUCUCUCUUCUCCCCUCUCUCUCUCUCUAUCUCUCUCUCUCUCUCUAGAGCUCUUCACUUGGUGCGGAGAAGAAAUGCUCCGAAAUUUCAAGGUAAUCCAAACAAGCUGUGAAAAUUCUAGAUUAGUCCCUAAAGCCCCUUAAGUUUUUCUUUUAAUCUCUCUUUUUUUUUCUCAGAUUUGUUGUAGGUUAUCAACGUUCACGGAGUUGGUUCUGGUUGUUUUCUGCAAUUGUCACAAAUUUCGUGCCACGAUUAAAUUUUUAGUAUUCUCGUAUAUACAGUAGUAGUGUUUUUUCUUCUCCUCCUCUUUUUGUUUGAUUUUUUUUUUUUUAAAAAAAAAGUUUUUGUAUCCUAAAAUUAAACAAAUUCGAUGCAAAUUGCUUUCGUACGGAAAAAAAGAGAGAAAAACCCUGUCCUCGAUUUCCCUGCUCUCCGCCAGAAUCAAAAGUUCCUUUUUACUAUUUAAUCAUCUCCUUUUUCUCUCUCGAAGUAAAAAAAAAAAAAAAAAAAAAAAAAAUCCCCCCUCAUUUCUUUUUCCAUUUUAAAAUUUUUCAAGAACAGGGUGUUUUGUUUUGUUUUUUUUUUGUGUUUUAUUUUGGUUAUGAAAAGAAUUGGAUCAGCUUUUAGAAAUCAGAAUCCCUUUUAUGAAAAGAAGGACAUGGGCUAAGUCAUGAUUCCCAUUUAUCAGUCCCUGUCUCUCAUGCUUCCUUAUACUUAACCAACUCCCAAUAGAUUCCUCUCUCUCUCUAUCAUCCUCGGUUUUCUAGCUCUGCCAUUUUAUUUUCCAACCACUCACUUUAUAUAUGCUCUCUAUUUAUCGGUCCAUUAUUAUUAUUCCUUUCAAUCUCUGAAUUACAAUCAUCUUCAUUUCAUCGCAGGAUAGCCGACUAUCGAUUUAAGAAGAAGAAAAAAAGGGAGAGAGAGCAGAAAUUAGAGAAUGGAAGGAGAUGUGUUUUCGGGGCUGAACAACGGGGGAGGAGGGGGAGGAGGAGGAGGAGGAGGAGCGCAGGUGGAUAGCAAGGUGAUGCAGAAUUUCCAGAAGAGCUUCGUGCAGGUGCAGAGCAUAUUGGAUCAGAACAGGCUGCUGAUCAACGAGAUCAACCAGAACCACGAGUCGAAGAUCCCCGACAACCUGAGCCGCAACGUCGGGCUCAUCCGGGAGCUCAACAACAACAUCAGGCGCGUCGUCGACCUCUACGCCGACCUCUCCGUCUCCUUCUCCAAGUCGAUGGACGCCUCGUCGGAGGGCGACUCCGCGGGGAGUAAAUCCGGGCAGAAGCGAAUUAGGCCCGGUUAAAAAACAAGAGAAGGUGUGGAUCAGAGGUGGAUUAUUCUCUUUGUAAGUGUGUUUGUGCUCUCUCUCUCUCUCUCUCUCUGUUUCUGAAGCAGUUCAAUUUUUCUUUAGGAGGAGGGGGGGUACUUACUUUGUAGAACAUAACCUUUGUGGGAAGUUUCCUUUUGUUGGUACUUAUUCGCUUGUAGUUCAAUCAACUAAUUAUGUGCCUUUUUAUGCAUUUUUACAUGUCUUAAUGAUUAAUCCGAGAGUAAUUUUCCCUGGACCUUUUUUCAAGUAACUACUACAAAACAUCUCGCUUGCUAAUUUGGUAAUUAAGCCUUCCAUAAAGGCUUUCUCCAUCAAUCAACAACUAUAGUACAAAAUCACCAAUGGUAGUAGUAGUACCCUAGUGGGGCUUUCCCUGCAAUUAAUCAUUUUUCUCUACUUUUUUCUUUUUUUCUUUUCCUUUUUUUUUUUUUUUUAGCCUCUGCUAGCUGAUCUUUUUAUUUAUUUAUUUAUUUAUUUAUUCAUUCAUAAACUUACAAAAGAGGUUGAGAUGCCCCAUGGAAUCAAGGCCUCUUUUUUUUUAACUUAUAAGAAAAGCACUUGUCAUGCAUCCUGGAUGUUGGUGGGAGCUAGGCAUGUAUCUAUCUGCUCCUGGAAGUGCCAGAGAGGAGGAGGAGUUGUUCAGUUUGUGGGCUGCUUCUCUGAAGAUGCUUUUAGGGCAUCAGCUUCUAUUAUUUUUGGGCUUCCAAUCAUGUAACCCACCCACUAGUGUAGAAUCUCAGAUAAGAGGAGGUGAGGUGAAGCCUUUUUGACCACUAUUUUGGCAUGGCCAAUGCCAAAUUAACCUCCUUGCUCCUCUUAUACAUGUUCCUAGCUCUGUGGGUGCUACAAGAACUGACAUGGAAUAUAAUAGGAGAAGGUAAUAAAGCAGCAAAGAUAAUAAUAAAUAAAUAUAUAUAGUAUAAUAAUGCCAUGGCAAUGGAAUACUACUGCAAGUAUCCAAACACAGUGAUGUCCAAUGACAAGGCCAUGGGCCCAGAGCAGCUCUCCUUUGGGGGAUGAAUAACAACAUCAUCAAUCAUCAACACUUAUCUGCUUAUUUACUUGCCCCUGCACCUGGUAUUCCACAUCAUCAGCCUGCUCUAGUAUUAUCCAAAGCCAAAGGAUCUGUCUUAAAGCAAAUUGUUCAGAAAUAAUUUUAACGCCUCGUCUGUCUCUCGACCUCACGUGCAUGAUGAAGAUGAGAUUGCUGCAAAAUAACCGGUAGAAAUUUAACCUACGACGCCUUGUGUAUAGAAAAUAGUUACUGAUACAGAACAUCGCAGGAGUAGUUUGAAAAAUAUAAUCAUAUCAGGUGUUGCGCUUACUAAUUAGCCGACACGUGCGUUCUAAACACUACCUGCAUAUCGGCAAGCAUCUUGGAAUGUUAGAUCAUUAAUUCAAAAGGUUUGAGCUGUCAGAAAUACGCGAUCAAUUCACUUAAAGCGUACAGAUACAGCGCCCACGAGUCUAGAUUGUGAUUCGGUCCAACCAACUUAACGCCACUUCGAACAUGACUCGGCCCACUUGGUCUCACGCCAUUUCGAAUAUGAGACUUGGCCCAACAUGACCUUCUGUCCAAAGAAUAUAUAUAAUGCUGAUCCAUUUAAGCCGAGAGAGAUUACGCAUAAAUAUGAAUCCAAACUGGUUGAGCUGAUGAGAUUCGACCACCCCUUUCUCUAUGUUGAUAGUUCAGCUGUUCCGAGGGAGGAAGGGGCCCACAUCAAUCCUUCUCGGAAUCACUGCACGGUUGUUGGUUAUUGGCCAUGGAGAGGGAGAGGGAGAGGGAGAGGGAGAGGGAGGGGACCCAUUUUUGAGGGUCCAAUAAUUUGGAGAUUUUUUUGAUCGUUCGCUUCUUACGAAAUCAGGAGGAAUUUGGGUGAAAACGAACUGUGCUUUGUGCAUGCGCAACAUUGUUUGGUGUGACCUCGUUUUCACGCCUCUUUAGCCGCUGAGACCACACUUUAUUUGAGCUACAGUUUACGGCGCAUCUAUGUAUCUUUCCAUUGGUGGAAAUAUCCACGUUGAGUGAUCUGGACCGUGUUGAAUAUAAAAUAUUAUAAAAAUAUUAUUUUUUAAUUAUUUUUAGUUUUCUAAAAAUAAUAAUUGUUUCGUAUCAUUUAAUCAAUAAUUUAUUAAAAAUAUUAUUAUUUGAUAGCUUAAGUUAUUAAAAAAUAAAGAUAAUCUCAAUAUAAAUAUUAAAGAAUUAUUUUUUGGCAGUUUAAGUUUGAACCGGUCAGUUUGACCUCGAAUCGGUUGGACCAACUAGUUUAGACCGGUCGAAAUUUGGCAACUUUAUAUUACAAUAAGGUUCAAUCAUGGUUUUACCUCGGUUAAUUCUAUGACUCUAAUACGUCUUCAGUCACUGGUUCAAUUUGUGGAUCAGUUUCUCUAAAUACUAAAAACUAUAUAUCGAGAGAAAAUUAGUAUAGAACUACUUGUUUAGGACAAACACUUUAAAAGAUAUUUCUAACAAAGCAGUGCAUUUUAAUAGAAAGAUAGAUUUUAACAUCAAAAGAUUUAGAAAUUUAUAAUUCAAAUAACUAAACCAAAUUAAUAAUUAAAGGUGAAAAAAAUGGUCUUAUUUUUUCUAGAAAGACCUAUUGUCUCAUGAAAAAUUUCACCUAAAAACUAACGAAAUGUAAAAGAAGGGCCCACAAAAAAAAAAAAAAAAAGAAACNACUAAAUUGUUGCACUCACGAGCCAAUCCAUGACGCAACGAAUCACAACCACGACACAUAUCUAUCAACAGCUACUCAAUUAAACUUCGAGUUUGCUAAACGCAAACGCAAACGCAAUGCCCUGCUUUUUAUAAAAGCGCUUUUGUUUGGGUAAUCACAAGCACCCACUCAUCAACAAGAUUUAAAUAUAUAUUAGAGUAAUUUCACAUCAAAUUAAAUAAUGCCCUGGUCAUGAGCUUUGUCUAUGUUCCACAAACUAUGCCUUUAAUUGUUUAUACUUUGUAUGCUUAGUUUAGGUUGUUGUUUAAGUGGUAAAGGUGGGCUUUUCAUUUGUUUAUUUUGUGUAGUAAACUUAUAAUAGAAAAGUGAGGUGGAGAAAGGGAAAGAUUCCAACCUACUCACAUACUAGGAAACCUUUAUUAUUAGAUUAUUAGGGCUUUAAAUUAAAAAUUGGUUGAGUAAAUGAAGGAACCAAAGUGAGUUUCUAGGUCUCCAAAACUUAUCCAAAUUUGGGAUAAAACUUCUGCCGGGAGCUUCUCAAUAACUCUUCGUUGGAAAGCUCUCGAUCCACAGUUAUAUAUUGCUUUUGUUAUUAUCAAAGAAUUCAUUAGGUAUUUUUAAUACUAAAAUUGAAAAAUAAAAUCUUUUAAGAGAAAGAUUAUAAUUAUUAGAUAGAGAUAAAACUAGCACAUAGCAGCAUAUCAGAGCGUCUCACUUAGGCGUCCUUGGAGAAAUCUUUAAAGAUACAUUGCCACACUUGUGUACCGAGGUGUCACAAGUUCACACACGUGUUAACGCUCGAUGCUCUUAAUGGAGAAAAAAGGGAAAAGUGUUUUUUUUUUUAUUUUUUUUAGCGUGAAUGCGGUUUUUAAGACUAUUGAAUUGAUGUAUUAGCAAAUAAAAAUUAAUAUUUUCAGAGUUAAUCUUAAUAUUUUUAAAGUAGAGGCAUUUUAUUUAAUUACGGUUGAAAUUUUUUACUUCGACAAUAUAAAAAGUCAUUAAUUUUCUUAGCAAAUAUAUAUAUAUAUACUGUAAUUUGAAAUUGAGUGUGUGUACUAAUAAAAAAAAUUUAUAUUUAUUUAUGUUAAUAUAUUAACAGUUUAGAAAAACAAUAUUUUAAAAGAUCUAUAGAAAUGCUUGGUCAUAGUUAUAAUAAUAGAUAUAAUAAAAUAAUAAUCAUCAUUUAGUAAGAGUGUAAGAACAAAAUUGUUUAUUUAAAAUUAUCAUAUUAUACUUGCUAGAUCAGCAUCUCACGUAAAUCAAAGAGAUUAGCAUAUGGAGUAUUUAUUAUAAUUCUUUAUUUUAUUUUAUUAUUAUUACUGUUUUGGUCAAUCACCUUCAGCCCCCAUGACCAGUGUAAUAGCCGUGAUGAGACGUUCGUAAUGUAUGAUUUUAUAUUGCUUUAAGAUUCGAGAUUACAGUAUAGGCGGUUUAAAUCUCCGUCCAUUAUGAUGGGUUAUUAUCAUUAGGCAAAACAUUUUAAUCAUUUUAAUUAUAAAGUUUUGAAUGUAUUGAUCUUUUUUUUUUUUCUAUUUUUAUUUUUCUUCUCGUGAUAUUUGUAGCUCCAUAAUUAUUCGGUGGGAUAGAUUUAUACUCCAUUUUGCUCGUUCUCCUAUUCUUUGUUUUGGAUCUGCUUUUCAUUUUGACCGUUUCAAGUACUGCACCUUUGGAUCUUUUGAGUACUAUGCUAGGAAACUUAACUGUAACUUAACUGUAUUUUUUCAACACACGUGACAUGAUUUAUAUGAUUAUUGAUUGGUUUUUUAAAGUACAGGUUGAUCCAAAUUAUAAAUGACUCUCUAGUUGGUGAAUCUAGGCAAUGCAACGCGGGUCGACAACAACGUGAUCGAGACGUUCCGAAAGAGCUUCGUGCAGGUGCAGGGCAUGUUGGAUCAGAAUCGUUUGCUGAUCUCAACGAGAUCAACCACAAUCACGAGUCGAAGAUUGCCGACAACCUCGAUCGCAACGUAGGGCUCAUCAGGGAGCCCAACAGCAACAUCCGGCGCGUCGUCGGCCUCUACCCCGACCUUUCCGUCUCCGUCGCUGAGUCUGUGGAGCCGACUCCACCGCCAUCGGAGGGGGGGCGCAGCCUCGAGGCCCCAGAGCAAGAGGAAUCGGCGGGGGUAGAGAAAGAGGAAGAGAGAGGAAAAAAAGCAAUGUAAUAGAAUACAAUAUAUGACAGGUCACUGAUCUCUCUCGGUAUCUUCAUCUUUUUAUUUCCCGAGUUCUCGUAGCUAUCUGUUUUGUUCAUUUUUAUAAUUAAAUUCAAAAUUUUAAAAUUCUCGAAUAACAUUUGUUAAGUUCUUAGUUAAUUACGACCGUAAACAAUCGAUGGCACUCAUUGUUUUAAGUUGGAGUAUUUAUACCAAAGCAGUGUUUUGACACACUGAUAUGUUAGAAGAUGCAUUAACAGCUAUAGCGAAAACAUGAAUUUCAAAUUUUAUUAAAGUUAAAAAAAAAAGAAAAACAACAUAUUUUUUGUCAAUUAGAAGUGUGAUAAUUUUUUAAAAAAAAUUUAGUUAGACUAAAUUGGCACUUAGAUGACAUAUGGGGCCCAGAUUUAAUCUAGCCAGGCUGGGAGAAGCACAAAUGAUUUUGUACAGCUGGAAAAAAAGAAUUUUAAAAAAUUGCCACCAAAUUGUAAAAGCGGUAAAAUACUACAAUGAAAAAAAAAAGAAGUUAAAAAGUGAUAUAUCUAUGCCCCAGGAACAGGACAAGGGAGGGAACUUCAAAUGGGUUUGUUCUUCUUAGAAGAGAGAUUUAAAGCCACAGAAAAAAAAAAAAGAGAAAAAAAUAAAAAAAAUGCUUAUCUCCACUUUGUUUUCUUCUCCAUGUGUGCAAUAAAUGCCACAAAUGAACUGAGUUUCUCUAUACAAACAAUUAGAUUCCACCAACUCUAUGUUGAUUGCUCAGUUGUCGUAAAGUGGACCCCACCAUGGCUUGUAUCUUAUUUUGAUUUUCUGAGUGGGUAAAUUUCAUGACCACUAGUUCCUAUAUUUUCAGCUAGAUUUUAUUUUAGUUUUCAAAAUCUUAAUUUCAGUAUAAGAUUAUUUUAUUUUUUAAAAAAUUUUUCAUUGUAGUCUCUAUGUUUGUUUACUAAUGAGGAUAAACUAUUACCUAUACUUAAUACAACUGUAAAUUUAUGUAUCAUACAUUCGUCGAUUCUUUAUUCAUCGCAUCUUUCAGCAUCAAGUAAUAAUCUUUUUUUUUGUUACGAAAUUAAACUAUUAAAUAAGAAGUAUCAAAUGGGUGAAGAUUACCGAUUUAAAAUGAAUUUUGAUGUAUAAAUAUCUUAUUCGGUAUAUUAUUAUAAUUUAUUCGGAAAGCUUGUAUAUAUUAGUAGAUAAAGGGUGUAAUUAAAUGUCUAGAAUUAAAUAUUAUAUUCGGCCUUAUAAUUUUUUUUUUAAAAAAUAAGAUAACUUAUUCCGUCUUUCAAACAGGGCCUAAUAGAAAGCAAUAUUUUUUAUUAUAAAGUAACGAGUAUAAAGAAAUAAUUCUACAAGUUUACGACUAAAAUUUAUUACUUAAAAGUUCAAGAAUUAAAACAUUAAAAUUAAAAGUUUGGGGGCCAAAAUAAAACUAGACUUGGAGUCCAGGGGCUGGUAGUGCAAUUUAGCCAAUUUGGAAUCAUCAACUUAAUUGGAGAUAUUUGGACUUAUGGAGGGAGAGAUCCACAUGGGUUAUUUACCAAAUUGGGUUAAUUCUUGGGUUGGGAACACAUUGUGUGCUUGCUCUUUUAUAGAUCUAGAAUUGCUCUUCUAGCACCUAAAGUGGUUUCCAAGGGGAAUAGAUAGAGAGGGUCAGGCCAAAAGCAUGCCCUACAAAUUAACUAUGGUUAGGUUAGCUCUCACCCUUGUGGUUUGAGAUAUUAUAAUCUAAUCCUCUAGUUUGUUUUAUUAUAUACAAAAACAUAUACUAUGUAAUACUACUUCAUAACCCAAAUUUAACAGUAUAAAAAAAAUGUAUUUUUACAGACAGUCUUUAGUGCAGAGAACAAAGAGUUUGCUGAUUGGUACUCGAGCUCUCAAAGUUGAAGGGCAGUUGCUUUACAUUUUCAGCUAAUUUUAUUAAAAAAAAAGAAACAUAACAUAGAGCCUGCUAUCUUUCCGAGGUGCUAAAUUUAAGUCUCCGUCGAGAGAACUUCCGGAAAAAAGAUAUAGAGAGUUUAGUUUUCAGUUCUUUUUAUUUUUUUUAAAGAGAACCUAUAGAAAGGAGGACAAAAAAAAAAAAAAAAUGUUAGGUGAUCUGUAUGCAGGGAAUCCCAGGGAAAGUCCUCAUUAAUAAAAAAAUAGUAAUAAAAAAAAAAGAACAAAAAAAGUUGUUAGAAGGUCACUUACAUCAUUCCCAAUUAGUUUAAUCCUAAUCUCUUUGUUUUUAAGGAAACAAAUGGCCCAAGCAUGUACUUGGUGCAAAGAUACUAAGCCAAGUCAAACACAUGUGGGACAAAUUAUUCAUCAAAUUAAUACUACUACUUAUUUGGAGAAUCUGAUGUUGCACGUAUCAUUCUAAUUGCAUGUGUCUCGAUUCUUCCUUUUGCUCUCUCACCACUUUACUACCGUGCAAAAUAAUUUUAUUUAUUAUACAUAACUAUUUAGGAAAAAGUUUUCUAUGUAAUCGAUGUUCUGUAUAAACAAUUGUUAUCUAGAGUAGUUGGUAUUUUUUUUAAGAAAAAUCAAUUUGAGAAUACUCAGUUCCAACACAAAUGGGACAAUGCAAUUGUCUUGGUAUGAUCUAUUACAAAAAGGCCCAAGAUAAAAUGGGCCGGCCCAAUACUGGCCCAUUUAGAUAACUAUAUUAAGCAAAAAAGUAGAGCCCGGCCCAUUUAUGCGUCUAGGUACAAAAGCCUAGAUGAAAUUUUUCGUAAUUAUUUUAUCGCUGGGACGAGCCCAAAAUGGCCGGGUCGGAUCUGGUUGGAACAUAUAAAAAAAAGAGGAAAAAUUGCGAAGUUAUUCAUCUCUGGUUUUAUUAGUUUGAGUGCGAGUCGCAAAAACCUAGAUCGAAAAGACUGAACAAAAGUGGUUCGGGUCAGAUUUGCUCAGGUCUAGUGAAGUAGAUUGAUUGCAAAAGCUGACACGUCAAUUGUACUAUGAGUUACACGCUGUGACGCUGAGAUACCAAUAAUAUAUUUACUCAUUCGGGAUCGAAUAUCUCUCUACUGUCCAGGAACAGAUAGUUUGGUGUCACAUUAAAAUGUGGGAUAAAGUCCCAAGCAAUGUGAGAUGGUAUCAUCUCUCCAUGCCCGGAUAAAUUAGAACAAGAAAAUCUGCUGGUGAGAUAAGGAUCUGGCAAAAUCAUCUCCACAAUUGACUUCAAUGGGGGAUGGAAAAGACAAAAAGAGGGGUACGAUUGUAUGCUUGUGGAUCUUUCGGUUACUCUAUGUUGUAGAGAUGUUGCAUGAAAGGUGACCUCACUUUAGCUCGUUUCAACGAUGGCGAGGAUCCGAAUCAUCGCCAUCCGGUUCGGUCGAGUCGGUGAUUCCAUCAUCUUUAAGUUACUAAAGUGAUUUGAAAUGGCGAUCGAAUCGUUUUCAUUUGCAUGCAUGGUAUUCUAGUUGGAAAAGCAAAGUUGCAUAUCCGUUUUCGCAAGAGUUGGAUGGGAUUUAUUAAAUCUGAUCAAAUUAAAAUUAAAAAGAAAAACACUCUUAGUUGUUGUCGCAUCAAAUAUCAUUUCAUGUUCACCACUAUAAGAGGAAAGCGAAGGGAACGAAUUAAAGGUUGGAUGAUCGGUAAUAAUGUAUUUGUGACACUCCAAUAAUCCCGCAUCAGAUGGUUAUGACUAGAUAUGAAAAAUAUAUAAACUUAAUUAGGGUAGACAUAAUAACUGGGUUUAAGUAUUUUGGACCGAUAGUUUUGGCCCAACGAAUUAUUAUUGCUAGUGGGUUGUAUCGAUAUAUUUGGUAUUAGAGCUAAUUCAUCGGUCGAAAAUAUGAGAUGAGUUUUGACUGAGUCUGGAUCGGGUCGGGUCGAUAUAUUUGAUAUCAGAGCCAGUUCACCAGCCGAAAGUAAGAAAUGAAUUUUGGCCGAGUCAGGGUUGACAAGUCUCACAUCGCUUAAUAAUUUUGGACUGUGUGUGUAUUUAGGACUGAUGAGGACGUCCGGGGGAGUAUGUGACACUUUAAUAAUCUCAUAUCGGAUGGUUAUGACUAGAUAUGGAGGUAUAUAAAUUUGAUUAGAUUAGAUAUAAUAAUUGGGCUUAAGCAUUUAAGCCGGUUAUAUAGAUAUUGCAUCAAAUUUUAUGUUUGCAAAAGUUGAGGUCAAUAGUAGACCCAUGGCAUUGAAUUAUAGUGUGAUUUGGGCCCAGCAAGUCACACUUUUAUUGGUAGGCAAUGGAAUAGUGCCAUACACAGCAGUGAUUCCACUAGUGGAAUAUCCGUGGCUUUGCUUGAUCCAUUAGUGGGAGUCAUGUCUUGGUUGAUUUAUGCCUCUUGGGUGGAUCAUGAUCUGUGCUUGUUAUCGUUAUCAUCAUUAUUAUUGUUUUCGACUUUAUAAACUCCGCCUGUACGGACGUGCGAGUAUAUUCGAUAUAACCGUUAUUUUAUAAAAUUUUGAGACAUUUGAGAUUAGAACAAUCAAUCGCUUGCUCGGGCUAAUAGUUGCUAUCCGAAUUGCCGUCCUUGAGGUCGGGAGUUCGAACUCCAGUUGUGCCCUAACGAAAAAGGCUUACGCCCCCUACUUUUUGGAUAUAAGAUAAUAUUUUAUAUGCCAGACGAGUUGGAGCCUGCUGACGAGAUAAAAAAUAAUGAUAAAAAAUCCUCUAUUGGAAUGCUAAGGAAUGAGAAAUCACAAUGGGCCAAGACGGCCCCAAGGCCCAAAAGCCCGCAAAUUAUUGUGGCCCACUGACAUGGGUUGUUACAAUUGGUUCUCAAUAGUCAAUACUGUUCAACUAAAUAUUAUGUGAAUAGUUAAUUAAAAAAAGAGUUAAUUUUCAACUACUGCAGAAGCAUUAGUAUCAAAGUAAGAAUUUUGCUUUCCAGGUCCAUGGAUGCAGAGGCUUGGGACACUUAUCCGACAAAAUAUAUAAUUCCGUGAUGAUUCUAUUCACUCCUCCGUAUCACAUAAAAUACAGUACACAAUUAGAAUAAAAUAUUUAUGGAGUAGUUAAUUAAUGCGCCAUUCAACACAGCGAAACUCAGUUAUAUAAACUAGGCGAAAACACAAACUUGCUCAAAGGGAGAUAAAUAUAGUGAGAGAGGCACAUCAAAGCAUUUCACACGACUCUCUCUUUUUCUCUCUCUCUCUCUCUCUCUCUCUCUCUCUUAAAUCCACUUGAAAUUUAAAGGGUUAAUAAAGUUGAGGAGAUAGAGAAUGACACAUAGACAAGCAAUAAAGCAAAGUAAGGGGGGGAUUAAAGAAGGCGAUUGCACGUGGGGUGGGCAGCGUUCACGCGUGGCAGACAAUGUCAGCACGCAGGUGCACGGAACAAAAUAUCUGCUCUCCAUCACUAAAGCGUUCGUUAAUUUCUAUCACACACACACACACACACACACACACACACACACACACACACACACACACCAGCUUCUUGGAUCCGGUUCCACUUUGUAUUAUUCUCACUUUUAAUAUACAUGUCCAUGUAUAUAUAUAUAUAUAUUCUUUACAUGAUUGUGUUCACGCGACCCAAUUUGGUGGGUGGCUGGAUCCAUGUAAAUAUAGAUCCGACCCGAUUGUUAAUUGAGUACCAUUUUCUCAGGGAAAUCUCGAAGAUCAAACUUUGUAAGGCCGUAUUUGGAUAUCUGGACAAGUUAUGAGCAUUCCCUUUUUUUUUGAGGGAAAAAAACACUAGGACGUAAACAAAUGAGUAUAGGCCGGAUGUUAAUUUGUGCAUGCACAUUAGUAGACGUGCUUGGAUAGGCUAUGAGUACUGUAAACGAAAAGGUGCAAACAUAGCGAGUUAGUUGGAACGCAGAGAACUCACAAGAUCAUACCCAAAGUGCUCCACUUAUAAAAUUUUCGAUGUUCUAAUCACGGAGUUCGAGCGAACUGGAGUGUGGAGAGGUCACCACAAUCAGUGAAGUCAUACACACACCCCAAAAUUGCCGAAUGCCGCCCUAAACGGAUCGAAAAAGUUCCCGCCCGAACCCGAUUUUGCAGGCCUAUAACACAUAAGAAGGACAAAAGAAGUAAAGGGGGAGAAGUUAAAAAGCAGAAGCUGCUAAUGCUGCUGCUGCUGCUGCUAGUCUACUUUGAUUCGUUUGCUCCUCGGGAUCGCCCCACCGUGUCUUCGAUCUCUGUCCCUGUCGCUUCUCGUCUCUCUGUCUUUCUCUUUCUCUUUCUCUUUCUCUUUCGCUGCUCCCAAAACCGUGCGCUUUAGUUUUUAAGGAAAAGAAGAAGUAACGUGAUGGGCCAAAACCCACAUCGUCGACGCGUCGUUUUCAUUGGAUUUGGAUCCCUCGUAUUUUCCUACCGCAUGGCACGUAGCAAAAUGACUUCACAUCCACACUAUUAUUAUUAUUAUUACUAUUAUUAUUAUUAUUAUUAUUAUUAUUAUUAUUAUUGGUAAGAAUAAUAUUUUAGAUUAUAAUUAAGACAAAAUUAUAUAAAAUUUGUCUGUCAAUACUUGUUUCUUUUACUCCCCUUGUCAUUUAAAAACUUACACUUUCUUUUUAAAAAAUAAAAAAUAUUCACAAAGGAUACGCUGUGACAAAAUGAUCAAAUUACUCAUCAUCUUCUUCGAAAUGGACGUGGACGAAGAGGUUGGCAAGAGCGAGGGUGAGGCGAUGCGGCCGAGGAUGAGGAUGAGGAAAAAGGAGAGAUUCAGAAGCUUUUUAGGUAUAAAACAUAGGAUAUAAACGGAACUCUAACGGAGCACUGAUGGCGGGUCAAAGUGAACAUUUUUUAUUUUAUAAAGGGGUAAAGUGUAGAUUUUUGAAUGACAGAAAAGAAAAAGUGAAAAAAUGAAUAUUGACAAAAAUUUUUUCUAUAAUUUAGCCUAUAAUUAACUGUAUCAAUCUAUAACUCCGUGGUAUACUGGUACGUGAUCAAGUUUUUAUUGUGAAUUCACCUUUUGAAUACAUUGUAAAAUAUAUAACUUGUUAGUACGCUCUUCAGCUGAAUACGUAGGAUAUAUACCCAAAUUAUCCCAUCAAGCUCUUUUACAACUAUAAAUUAGGUUACACAUACUAGUUUGUUUAUUAUUGGAAAAGCAUUGGAAAAUAAUUAAGAAAAUACCUUAGAUGAUAUCAAAUAACAAAGUUAUAAGCUUAAUUAAUGGUAGGAUAUAAAAAUACACAUUAGUUGACAUGUUUUGUUCCACUAGCAUGUAGAACAACAUUCCCGACUUACAAAGGUAAAAAAUAAAAAAUUAUUCUAGUGAGAUAUAUAUUGGCCAUGGUCAAAUAAUCCGUAAAUUGAAAACUAACAACAAGACCGACCGUCCCUAGAGCAAGUCGCAAAGGACUUGAUGGUUGGUAUUUGAGACCCAAGUUCGAAUCCUAGUUGAUUCAUAUUUCUAGCUAAGUUUAUUUCUUAAUGAAAUAAACGAAGCGGGUAACAUGUUACCUAUCUCUUUAAAAAAAAAAAAAAANGAAAAAAAAAAAAAAAGAGAGGGAAAACAAAAGGUGGCCUUCAGGGAGCCCAAAAGUCGUGUUGUGCCUGUUGCAUCCCAUCCUUGGGAAAAACAUGUUACCUAUCUCUCAAAAAAAAAAAAAAAACUAACAACAAGACUUUUUUGCCUCCCUAGGACCUACCCAAAAAAAGAAAAAUUUUAAGGAAGAACCUUUCUUAGGCUUCAGUCCAAAAUUAGAUUUAAUUAUCUUGUUAUUCCAAAUUAUUCUCAGACAAAAAGAAUAUAUCAGUGUUUUUGAUCAAACUAUAUAAAUAAGAUGCCAAAAUAAUAAUAAUCUAUUGGAUUAUUGGGUGGUCCAACACAAGCAAUAUCAAGAGGUUUAGAUAAUGUUGACACAAGAGAUGCUUUUGAAUAAUUAAUUCAAACAAAAAAAGGUAUCAGAAACUUCCCAGUUACUUGAAUAAUUACGGAUGACGAUGGCGCUUAAUUAGAGUAAUUUCGUUUAAUGUUAUGUUACGAGUUUUUUUAUUCAAAGUAAGUGCACUUAAAAUUCGGCGCAUAAGUUUAAUUUGAACAAAAAGCUAAUAAAUGUGGAUAUCAAUAAUUGAGUACUAGGAAAGAGAAAUGUUGCUAUGUAAAAAAAAAAAAAUUAUGGAGGGGGGUGGGUACAAAAGAUCCUAAUCUGAGAACAUACAAAAUAACCAACUAAUCCAAAGUUGGAUUAGUUGAAGAACUAUGAAACAUAGCCCUUUUUAUCUCACACACAGGGAUGGUGUUUCCACUCUCUAGCAUCUUACUUUAGUCCUCGAACUAAAGCACUGAUGCUACAUAUGGAGGGUAAUAAAAAACCAUUGUGUUCUUGAGAAUUUUAGUGAAUAGAGCUUCUCCACAAUGGAAAUACUGGUUAUGUAUGGAGCUUGUCAAAAUUAAUAUUGAACUUAAAUUUGUACCGUUAUCGACCAAUUAUUAACAUAUGAUGACUUCAGGUUGUACAGUUUAGUGAAGUUGAAGUUGUAAAAGUACUAUUCUCAAAAAAAAAAGUUGUAAAAGUACUCAGACAUAUUCGAAAGUUGAAGAAUCGUAUCAAUCUUCCAUGGCAGCUUAAAUCACGCAGACGAGAUAAAUCUCACAUCGAUCGAUCCUGCGAGAUAUGCCGACCCACGACAUGCUUGACAAGAGCAGGAGGGUUUAGAGUUCAAGCCCACCACUUGCUCCACCACUAGGUACUUUGAAGAUUAUAGGGAUCUUUGAUGUUCAAUAUAGGUAAAGCCUUUUAGGAUAAGUGAUAGAGCCAUUAAAAAAAGGUGGAUGAAGGGUCAAAUUUGGUUUAGCCAAUUACCUUAAAUUCUAUUGGGGACUCAAUAUGCUGGAUAAUAUUUGGACCCACAAAUUCUGUCAAGUUUAGCAGCAGCUUUUAGCUAGUUAACAAAAGAGGCUAAUAAGUGAAAGAAACUACUGAUUAAUCAUAGAUGAUUUAAACUCAAAAGGUUCAUUUAUAAAUAGCCUUAUUAUUAGAUAUUCUGAAACAAUUGUAUUUUUGUUCAGAGAGAUAGAGAUGACAAGUUACUUGCUUCGUUCAAUUUUUUUAAAUAAACUUAACAAGAUAUGUAAAGUAAUUAGCAGGCCAGCUUCGCAUUUGAAAGCUCAGAUAUUAAUUAUCAAGUUUUUAGCCAACGGUAGUGUAUAUAUAUAGCAAGUGAAAUUUGUAUCAAGGUAGAAAUUCAUAGCAUUUAAUAUAUCUACUGCUUUUUGCCAAAGUAAUCUUAUUUCCCUUUUGCUUUAGCCUCACACAAGCCCCAUCUCCAAAUUCUACAAAAAGCACGCUUCCUAGGCUGGGAAACUUUUGAUCCUGCAAUUUAAAAAAUCACCAAAGGACCACCCUACUCCUGCGAAAGGCCUACGAGAUUACAUGAUUAGUGCACCACCCUUCAACAUUAAUCCAAAGGCUAAGUCACCUUUUUGCUCCCAUGUGUGUUNAAAAAAAAAAAAAAAAAAAAAAAAACGGACAAAAGGGAUACAUCCAAAAGCCAUUUGAUGCUUGUCUUAUAAAAAAUGUGCUCAUGAAUUGCUUUAGUAACUUCAUAACUUGCUUAGAUAAAUCUUAUGUUAUAUGUUUUUUUUUUUUUUUUUUUUUUUCUAUUUUUUUAGACUCAUGUGGACUUAGAUUUGAGCGAGAGUGGGUUUGGCUUACUAGGCUCCGAGCCUUAAUUUGGGCUAAUGUGUUCCACGCUCAAUCUGUAACAAGGAUCAAGUUAUAAGCUGCAUCGCGACGCAUGGCGAACUUGGCCGCGUUUUGAGUCAGCUUCCAUGUCCCACAACAACAUUGGCAUCGAAGAAUCAACUUCUCAUCCAAGUCAUAUAUAUAUAUAAAAAAAAAGAGAGUGAAAAUAUGUGGAAUUGAACCCCUCAACUACAAGCAAUGUUCAAAUAGAUUCCCAAAAUUUUCCUUUGAUCAACUUUAUUGAAAGUUUUAUUAAAUUUUACAAUUUUUAUCAGCUUUUUAACUUGUUAAUUAUUAAUAAAAUUCACGUAUCUUUUAGCUUGAAAAGUAAUUGACAGUGGUAGUCGUAAAAUUUUGACAGAUUCGCUGCCUAAUUUAACUAAAAUUUGAAUUCCAUCGACUGAAAGUUAAAAAUUUUCAAAAGAAAAAAAUUAAAAUAGUUUUUAGUUGAGGGGUUCACCGUACAAUUAAUAAAAGGUGAAAAAGAGAGACGGACAAAUUAACCACUUGCUGAGAUCCAGCCGUGCAGAGCGACACUCCAGGUGUUCGACGAAAUGCUUGUCCCAAACUUUCACUUAAAAACUCCGACAGCUAUGUCCUGUGCAUCAGCCACGAUGGCGCAAGCACAAGCAACAGAGGAAGUGGUAGUGGCCACCUGAGAUGCCCGUGGAAAUUAAUGUACCAAAAAUGAUACACCUUUGCUGCAUUUCCACGUGCAUCGGCAUAUUCCUAAAUGCAAUCAACUAAAACCCAACUCUUACAUGCUCCCACUUGUUCAAGGCUACAUUGAGCUCUAAUACUAUGCAAAAAGGUUUGAACCUCUAAAAUCAAUUUGUCAGACUCUGUACAUUCCAAGAGGUUCUGUGUUUCAUUCCCGCGUCUAUCAUAUAAUGGCGCACAUUUCUGCUCGUUAUGAUUUAUCCGAGCUCCGUUGCCGUACGAACCAACGUGUAAGAACUAUUUCAAAGUUGUUUUGUUCUUAUGAAAAGGGUAAUUAAACUAUUGUGGUCUCACUUGAUUUGUGGUCUACGAUUGGCGCCCCUUAAUUACAGGCGUUACGAAUUGAGGGUUUAUCUAGUGAGCCCUUUUACGGUGUAAAUUGUUCGACAAUUAAAGUGACUUACGAGGUGGGUUAUCCCUUUCCAGUGCCACGUGAAACGCAAGUGUUGUUUAAGUCUAAUCCUUCCUAUCAUCUCCUGAAUUGCAUUAAUUAAGCAAAGCCUUGUUUGGUAAUUGCGAGAACAUACUUGUCCCUUAUUAAGGGCCAUUUUUUGUACCGUACCGAGACCAAAAGAAGGAAAGAGAUUACAUAUAUAGAUUUUAAUAAUAUGAACCUCUUAUAACAAUCUCAUAUGUGGAUAAUAAUCCAAAUUAAGUGCGCUCUAGUUUGUAAUUAAAAGGCCACUACAAGUUGAACCCAAGGGACUUUUCCUAAAAAGGUUAAGCAACCAAUAAUUGGGAUCCGAACAAACCUUCCCCUUUCCUCUCAAGGGACCAAAACAAUCCAUCCCAAUCCCAAUCCUAUUUGCUGUUCCUUCGCCUUCUCCAUCUGUCACCUCCAUCAACAAAACAAAUUGCUCUAAACCGCUCAAAAAUUAUUGUCUGGACCUCUUCCCCCACAUCUCGCGCUAACUAUCAAACAAUCUACUCUUUCAUCGGACCACUCUUUCCGGCCCUGGUCAUUGUAAAAUAAGUUUUUGAUUAUCAAAACGGCAAAAGUUCACCUAAAAGUGGUGCACGAAAAGCUUUCUCUAUACCAGAUAUUUUAUAUAAGAAUACCAGCACUCAAAUUAGAAACCAUGUUUAUGGAGAAUUUCUCUCACAGUAGAUUUCUCGUGUGAAUUUCUUUUUGCAUUAGGGUCAAUUUGUUUUAUCGAGAAUGAAGUUUAGAUCGAAUAGGUUUUCGAAUGGAGCUAGAUGUCACAGGCUCGUUUGGUCCGUGCAGCGCUCGCCUUCCUUCGCGAAGUGAGCAAGUCUAUCUUUCUCCUUGCUAAGUCAGGACCUACUCGCCCUAGACUAAGAAUAAGAGAGAUAAAGAAAGUUCUUCUAUUAUUUUGAAAUAGAGAUUACAAAUAAGGAUUCUGAGUUGAGGAGGGUGGAGGCCACAACUAUUUAAAGGUUACUCGCCGCCCAUAAAGCAAAUGAAAAGAUACCAAGUGGCAUAAAGAUACAAGUCAAAAAGGAAGGUUACGAGCUCUCAAAGUCCUAAUAAAUAAGACUUCUAGAAAUAUAGAAACUCUAAGAGACUUCUCGGUUCCCUCUCGAGGUCCGCAUAGAAGUUUCUAGAAAAUCCAGGCAAAACCUCCUAGAUAUCCGCUUUAGAGUUUGGGUGAUUGCAAAAAAAAAUUUCGGCGAAAAUUUUUCUAAGUCCUGACAUAGAGUUCAGAUGAACGAGACGAAAAUUGUGAAACUAAAGUUUUUCUAGUUUUGCCUUUUGUUUUAUCGAAGAUAGAGUUAUGAUAAACCAACUAACGAAGAUAAAUAUCUAUUUUUACUAAUUUUCACGUAAAAAGCUAUGGAUAUCUAAUGGGGUAAGUCUCCAAAGAAGUGGAGUGCGCAUUCCUUGCUUGAAAAAGACAGUUUCGGAAUCCUAAGAAAUUACUUCUUCAUCUCCCCCCAUCCAUCCAGAUCCAAAUUAAAGGAGAGGAGAAGAGAUUGGAAUCCCCUCCCCACCCGUGCGCCCCCCUCUCUCUCUCUCUCUCUCUCUCUCUAUCUCUGCUAUUUUUUUAUUUAUUUGCAAAGUGGUCCCCCAACAAUACAUUAAUUACUUAAACAUACACCUCACCACACCCGUGCCCCGCAUCUCGUCCUAAUCCUGUACAAGAACUUGCCUUUAUUCGCCACCUUGGAAUACUAAUAAUUUAAUGAGAUCCGUACAGAUAUAGUAAGUAGCUGGCUUUCCGCAAAGAACGUCGUACCCCCUCUUGUCACGAUAACCCUCUAUUUUUAUCUACCUGCCCUUUAUUUGCCCACGUUCCUGUUAAAAUAUCUACUAUUAUUCAUUGCUUCAUUUAUUGUAAUUUUACCUUCUCUCGAAAUUUAAAUAUUAUAAAUUAUCGUAAUUAAUUUCGACUCGUUCUACAUCAAGCUGAUCACCCAAUUUUUUUUUUAAAAAAAAUUGAAUAAUAAAAAGCUUUAGAUUUUACAUUAUUAUUUUUUUGCCAGGCAAAUAAUAUAAUUGGGAAUAUUGUGAAAUUCAGUUUGAACUAAAUUUUUUCAACUAAACUAGACUUCAAAUAAAAAUUAUUUUUCUUCUGUAGUUCGUCAGUGUAAAUGUGAAAGUGAAAUUCCCUCUUGUUCUACUGUUUAUUUGGCGAAAAAUAAAAAACGUAAAAAUUAAAGAUGUGUAAGAUAAAUUAAUAUUUUAUUAUUUAGUUAUUUUUUCCUAAUUGACUUUGCUAAUUGACUUUUAACUGUGUUGGAGCGAAGUCAAUUACGGUAUUUUGAAGAUUUUGAUUUGCGAACGAAUGUGAAAUUAUAACGAACCAAAUUAUGAAAGUGAACAUUUAUGGCUGAUAACACUUUUGCCACUCUCCGCUUUUCAUAAAACAAACACGCCCGAAAAUCUAUUUCAAUCUAAACUUUCUCUACGGUAAAACAAGAUAAAAUUAAGAUUUUUAAAAUAAGAUUUUAAAUUAUAGAUCAAUUUAAAAUAAGAUUUUUAAACAUUUGUCGGUUAAAAUUAAAGAUUUAAUUAAAUGUAACAAUUUUAUUAACAAUUAAUUAAUUUAAUUACUCUUACUGAUAUCUGUGAGUUAAAAAGUUAGGAAUUUCAGAAUUAAAAGAUCAUAAGGGCAACUGAGCCAUUUACCAUUACAGAAACCUAGGACCAAACCGAUGGUUGAUGAUGAUUGUUAUUACUCCCUCUAUGACAAUGAUGCUAUAAAUUCGUGCAGUGAGUGGUUUGAAGCAUUUAAUAGUUCGGAGUGACAAUACAUGGAUGGGUAUUAUUAGCUAAUUAUUGAACGGUUAGGGCGAUGUUUAGUACAUUAAACCCAUUAAUAAUUCGGAUUAUAUUAAUUUAAUUAUUUGACUAUAGAUCCUAGCUAUACAUUAAUUAAAUACAUGAUGUUCUACUGUAGGGAAAGAUUCAAAACAAAUACAGCAUAUAUUUGCAUCUAUAUAUAUAUAUAUAUAUAUAUAUAUAUAUAUAUAUAUAUAUAUAUAUAUAUAUAUAUAUAGAAGGAGAGAACAUGAUAAUGUAAACAUGGUAACCGUACCUCAUGUGAUCGGAUACAAGGCGACGGACGAUCUACGAGCAGUGUGCACCGUCGAGAAAUUAUUCCUGGACCUGGUUCGCCACAUCAACCAUGUUCUUCCAUAGGAUUACCCUCCUGAGAAGAAAAUAUACAGUAUCACACUUACACCACAUCAUUAGUAACAAGACAAUUAUAUUUUUUUAUUUAAAAAAAAAUAUAAUAAAAUAUUUUUCUAUUAAUUAUGAUGGAAUGGAUGAACUCAAGAGAACAAUUCUAUUAAUUACGGACGUUACUAGUAAAUUUUAAACUUUUUUCUCCAUGAGAUUUUAUUCGAUAAAUUUUUUAAAAUUAUUUUUUCAUACGAUUUAUGCCUAUUUUAUAAUUUUUUUGUGUAUUUAGAUGAACAAUGUGGAUUUCAAAAAAUAAUUAAUGCUUUCUCAAUGAUUUUUAUCUAUAUAUUUUUUCUUUUUGCUGCUAGUGAGGGUAAAAGUGGAACUCACGGGUAAAUGAUGAUGGAAAGCAUUGGGGAGCGGUCCAGGGGUGAUGUGGUGGACUCGGUCGAGAGAAGCAUUUAGUCUGUCGGGGGCACCGCGGCUCCACAAACAUGAUAAUGCAGAGAGAUCGCGAUCGGCCGCACGCCCGCGAGAAUCAGACGAGCGACAUCGCCCGCCUAAGGAAAGAAGGAGAAGCGCCACGUCAGCAGCAUGCCCUGCUCCGCAACGCAGAGCACCACAAAAAGCCCCACGAGCCCCCAUUUCACACCCNNNNNNNNNNNNNNNGGGGGGGGGGAGAGAAGUAUAACCUUUUGAUUUGCGUUAGGGUUUUUUUUUCUUUCUUUUUUGGUUACGAAAAUGGAGAGGUGGAAGAAGCCGCCGCCGCCUCGGGCGCGGCGAGGGUAUAGCUGCGACCACCCCUCCUUCUCCUCCACACUCCUCGACGCCAUCUACCGCUCCAUCGACGAGCCCGAGGGCGCCGGCGCGGCGGCGAAGCCCCCGCCGCCGCCCGCCGCCGCGUGGAGGAGCGCCACCGUGCGGGAGCGGGACGCGGCGCCGCGCCGCCCCCAGCAGCAACCGCAGCCGCCGCAGCAGCAGCGCCGCUGCGGCGCGUGGCCGACGUACUCGACCUCGAGCUCGUCCGAGUGCUCCAGCUACGGCGGGUUCUCGUCGUCCGAGGCCGAGUCGUCGGCGCCCGGCUCGGCCCGGCUCAAGCCGAUCCUCCCGGAGAAGAAGAAAUCGAGCUCGAUCCGGAGCCGGAUCCGGGAGUUCCGCAGAUCAUCGAAGGCCCCCGCUUCCCCGGGGGCGCGCCUCGCGAGCUUCCUCAACUCGAUCUUCGCCGCCGCGGCCGGAAACCCUAGGAAGCCCUCCAAGCGCCCCGCCUCCGCCGCCGCCGCGAGCUGCGGCGAAUCGGCCUCGGCGUGCUCCACGGCGUCGUCCUACUCGCGCUCGUGCCUCACCAAGACUCCAUCGACCCGCGGCGGGCUCCCCCCCGCGGCGCCGCCCCCGCCGCCGCCGAAGAGAUCUGUGCGGUUCGGCCCCGUGAGCGUGAUCGUCGACGAGGAGCUCCGCCCCUACGAGAAGAAGCUCCCCUACGACNGAAGCCGCCGCCGCCCCCGCCGCGGCGCCCCCCCUCGGGCGGCGCCCAGCUACCUCAGAACCACUCCGUGCUCGCGCUCAUCCUGCUGCGGCACCUCGUGCGGCUCCGGCUAAGCGGCGUCGAGCGCCGCCGCCGCCUCCGCCCCGCGAACCUCCCGAAGGAUCCCAAAGGCCGGCGCCGCCGCUUCUAGCUCAACUCCUUCGAGCGCUCCGCGCGGGGGCCCCUUCGCCCCCGGAAGCUACUAGACGCCUUGAGGGCCUAGGCCGAGGCCUAGCUCGAGCUAAAGAAGAAGAGGCCCUCCCCAACGCGCUCGGGCCCCCUGACCUGGCGCCCCACCACCACCUGGCCCGGCCCGGCCCUGGGCCAGGCCUAGCCGAACUCGGCCCGGCUCGGCCCGCGGCUGCUGAGCCGGAGCCUGCUGCUCUUGGGCGGCAUCGACCUCGUGAGCCUGCUCGAGCUCCAGCUCAUGCAGCCGGUGCGCGGCGUCGCCGCGACGACGACGCCGCCGACGCCAACGACGACCCCCGCCGCGCCGCGGCGCAGGGCGAGGGCGUGCCACCGCGAGGAGGUGCGCCGCCGCCCGCCGCCGCCCCCGAAGCGGCGGCGCGGCCGCGGGAGCCCGAGCAGCUACCUCGCCAUCUACCGCAGCUCCUCACACCUCCUCUUCCUCCCCACCAGCGUCGAUAUGGGAGCGGCGCGGGCUCCGCCGCCGCCGAAGAAGGUGGCGAAGAAGGUGGAGAGGUAAAAGCAUUGGUUUUUUCUUUCUUUUUUUUUUGGAUUGCGUUUAGUUUUCCAAUAUGAAGAGAGAGGGGGGGGGGGGAGAGAGAGAGAGAGAGAGAGGUGGCUUCAUAUAAAAAGGAAAGAAAAAAAGAGAAAAGGAAAAAGAAAACAUCCUCUCCCUCUACUCUAAGCUUUUACCCUCAUCUCUCUCUCUCUCUCUCUCUCUCUCUCUCUCUCUCUCUCUCUCCUUUCACUCGUUCUUUCCCUAGUCUCUCCCUCCCAAUCCUCACUCGCUUCCCCCAAAGAUCUGUGCGGUUCGGCCCCGUGAGCGUGAUCGUCGACGAGGAGCUCCGCCCCUACGAGAAGAAGCUCCCGUACGACGGCGAUCCUCUACCAAUGGCGAGGAAGAGAGCGGAGGAGAUGGCGCUAGGGUUUCAUAGGGAGGAGGAGGAAGAGGAGGAGGAAGGGGAGAGCGAUUCGAGCUCGGAUCUCUUCGAAUUGGAGAGCUUAACUGUGACGGGUGACGAGCUCCCGGUGUACGAGACCACCAGCUUCCUCACCAAUCGCGCCAUCGCCCAUGGUCUCAUCGUGUAAUUUGAAAACCCAAAAUAAUAAUAAAAAAAACCCCCCCUAAAAAUAGUUAUUAAAAAAAAAAGGGGGGGAUAAAUGAAAAAUAUGGUCGAGGGGAGGGUACGUAGGUAAUUUAGUAAGCGUGUUUCGCGAGUUAACAAGUUUAAUCUGGUGCUUUUAUUAUCAUUAUAUUAUUAUUAUUAUUUUCUUCUUUAUUUUGGUAAUUACUGGACUAAUCUGGUUAUUAAUUAAUUAGCUAAUUAUUCUAUUAGCAUAAUUUUGUUUCUAUAUUAUUACAACUUUUGCAAACAGUAAAACUAGUUAUGCAAAAUAUUAAUUAUUCCGAAACAGAAAAUUGAAUUAAUGGUGUCAUUAAUCUUUUCUAUGGGAUUCCAAUGAUUUCCCGAUUUACUCUUUUGGGACCACCCAGCAAUUUUGCAAGUAUGGUAAUUUUAUUUUUAUUUUCUCAAUUUUUUUCUAAUGGUCAUUCUAAUUUGGUAGACCAUCUCAUUCUGCGGCGGAGGACGAUUUCGUUAAGAAGCGCCUCAACGGGAUCUUAGUGAGACGGUUUGGUGAUUCACUAUUAUGAGUUUGAAUUUUAUAGUUUUUAUUGCUACAUACAAAUUUUUCGUUCAAAUCUCAAUACUAUAUAUAAAUAAGAAUGAGGUGUUUUAUUGAGGUAAUUUAUUUAGUUAGUUCGUAAGAUAAGUAAUAAUAAUCUUAAUUAAGUUGCAGAGGAUGUGCUCAUGUGAAAUUGAGAGGGUGACAAAUAGGAAUUUAUUUAUUAUAAAUAACUAUUUGUCACCAAUGAUGCAGCAUAGAAAAAGUAAAACAGAGGAAAAGGAGAAAAGGGUGCACACGCUUUGUCUCCUAUAGGAUGAAAGGAAUGAUGGGGAGAAUCAAUAAGAAAACAUUUUUGGAAGCAAGGAAUUUUUCUUGAAUAUAAUUAAUGUCCUAUAUAUCUCUAUAUAAAUAACUAAUACUUUGUUUACAAAAAAAAAAAAAUUACAAUAAUUUACUACAAAUUAAGUAAUGAAAUGCUACAAUUUCUACUUCUUUAAUCUUACGGUUUUGUUAUAUAUCCAAUUAGAUAUGAUUACAUAUGCCAGUUUGUAAAAUGAUGUAGAAUUAGCCAGCAAGCGUAGCAUUACUUGUAAGUAACUACACAUUGAGCUUUAAUUUAGGCUUGAACUUAUUUUUGAGAGAUAGGUAGCACGUUACCCGCUUCGUUUAUUUCAUUUAGAAAUAAACUUAGCUGAAAAUGUGAAUCAACUAAAAUUCGAACUUGGGUCUCGGGUACCAACCACCAAGAAUUCGAACUUGGGUAUCGGGUACCAACCAUCAAGCCCUUUGCCACUUGCUCUAGGGACGGUCGGUCUUUAGGCUUAAACUUAUUUUCAAAUUUUGCUUGAACACUCGCCAAAU
rnacentral:lncRNA from 1 species